UACGUAGGGUGCGAGCGUUUGUCCGGAAUUAUUGGGCGUAAAGAGCUUGUAGGCGGUUUGUCGCGUCUGCUGUGAAAAUCCGGGGCUCAACCCCGGGCCUGCAUUCGAUACGGGCAGACUAGAGUUCGGUAGGGGAGUCUGGAAUUCCUGGUGUAGCGGUGAAAUGCGCAGAUAUCAGGAGGAACACCGGUGGCGAAGGCGGGACUCUGGGCCGAUACUGACGCUGAGGAGCGAAAGCGUGGGGAGCAAACAGG
rnacentral:rRNA from 1 species